rnacentral:antisense_RNA from 1 species
UAACAACGGUACCCUUUUCACUAACAUAAAUACCGUCAAGGAAUUUACGUAUAUCUUUAUUUCUUGCAAGAGCGCAUUGGUGAAUCAAAGCAGCAGAACGAGAUACAAGCUCUAAAUCAGUACCUGUAAUGAUUAACUCGUCCUUAACAGAGUUAGAUUUCUCAACAACAACUCCUGGAAGCAUCUUAACAGUUCUGACCCUCUUCUCUCCCAAGAAGUUUCUGAUUUCAAUCAAACUGCCAUUGUUUAAGAUAUUUGAGUUAAUUGGAAAGUGGGAAUAUACAAGACGCAUCUUAUACUCAAACUUCUUCAUGACACCAACCAUCAUGUUCUUGAUUGCUGAACAGACAGUAUUAAUAGCUGAUUGAUGGCGUGGAGUACCGAACCAUACUUCAAUUCUAACAACCUUACCAUUACCACAUAACUUAAUAUCUACCGGUAAAUGGUUGAAAGAUCUUGUAACUUGACCAAACUUUCCAGUAACAGUAACGGUUCUAGACUUAACAGAAACUGUUGUUCCUUCCAUUACACGGAAUGAUUCAUAAGUGAAAAUGUCCUUCAUUUUUUCCUUUCAAUAUUUAAUUACUAAACUCGAUGGAUGUUAUGUGUAUAUAUAUAAAUUUAAAUAUUAUUUACGUACUUCUUCCCUUAUUAAAAACUGGCUCAAAAUUAACUCAGAUUUAUAAAUCUUUGUCAAUCUUAUACCUUGAAAAUUUCUUCCACUCGUAAAUUUAUGAGGACUUUUAAUUGUUAUUAGAAACAAUUAUUCUUGUUUUUGUUGUCAAAUUGUAUUCCUUUAUUCGCCG